GGAAGUGUCGACGUUUGACGGAGC
rnacentral:siRNA from 1 species